GGGGAUGUGGCUUAGUGGUAAAGCACUUGCCUAGUGUGCAUAAGGCCUUGGGUUCUAUCCCCAGCACCACCA
rnacentral:tRNA from 1 species